rnacentral:rRNA from 1 species
AAUAUUGCGCAAUGGGCGAAAGCCUGACGCAGCCACGCCGCGUGAGCGAUGAAGGCCCUCGGGUCGUAAAGCUCUGUGGGGAGAGGAAGAAAACUGACGGGUAUCUCCUUAGCAAAGCACCGGCUAACUCCGUGCCCACAAGCCGCGGUAAAUACGGGAGGGGUGCAAACGUUGCUCGGAAAUUAUUGGGCGUAAAAGCGCACGUAGGGCGGGUUUGGUAAAGUUGGGUGUGAAAAGCCCCAGGGGCUCAAACCCCUGGAAAGUGCACCCCAAAAACUACCUAACUUGAGUCCCCGGAGGGGGCCCCAGAGAAAUUCCCGGUGUAGAGGUGAAAAUUCGUAGAUAUCGGGAGGAAUACCAGUGGCGAAGGCGCUGGGCUGGACGGGUACUGACGCUGAGGUGCGAAAGCGCGGGGAGCAAACAGGAUUAGAUACCCUGGUAGUCCGCGCUGUA